UACGAAGGGGGCUAGCGUUGCUCGGAAUGACUGGGCGUAAAGGGCGCGUAGGCGGCAUGUACAGUCAGACGUGAAAUUCCUGGGCUUAACCUGGGGGCUGCGUUUGAUACGUGCAGGCUAGAGUGGGGAAGAGGGUUGUGGAAUUCCCAGUGUAGAGGUGAAAUUCGUAGAUAUUGGGAAGAACACCGGUGGCGAAGGCGGCAACCUGGUCCUUGACUGACGCUGAGGCGCGAAAGCGUGGGGAGCAAACAGG
rnacentral:rRNA from 1 species